AUUAAAUGAUUAAUAGUUAUGUUCUUUAAAGUUAAAGAAUUUGGCGGUAUUUUAGUCUUUUCAGAGGAACCUGUUCUGUAAUUGAUAGUCCACGAUUAUAAUUACUUUAAUUUUAAGUUUGCAUAUCGUUGUAGUUUGAGUAUUUUAAGAGAAUGAAAAUAUUCAAUAUUUUUAAUUAGAAGUUAAAUCAAAUCAAGGUGUAGUUUAUAUUAAAGAAGAAAUGGGUUACAAUAACAAUAAAAGUUUAGGAUUAUCUUUAUAAAAGAGAUAUGAAUAUGGAUUUGAUAGUAAUUUUAUUUAUA
rnacentral:rRNA from 1 species